UUAUAUUCCCUGAGUUACAUUAUUGGAUGUGCUAACAAUUCUUCCAGAAAUAAUGAUACUAUAAUAUGUGAUCCACUCCUCAAUCUUCAGAGCUGAUUAUUUUUGAAAAAAAGAAAGAAAGAAAGAAAAUGGAUGAAAACACCAAAUAGCUCAAUUUAGUUUACUUUUAUGUACGAGAAAAAUGACUCAAUUUUAUUUUACUAUAGGCAGUGUUAAAAAAAAAAACCAUCAAGUGCUGAUCAUAUCUUUUGUGACUUACAGAGCCCUGGAAUAUGCCUCUGAAUGGUUGUGAACUGCAUUUCUGAGAACUUCCUUGUCAUAGAAUGAUAGGUGGCUGGCAGAGGAUGCUACUCAGUUGGAUCCUGUGCCUGUUUUUUCCCACGACUGUUUUGGCAGAAGUUGCAAGAUUGCUAGAAAAUCUAGUUGAUUGGAAGACAACAAUGAUUCUAUCAUAUUCAUAUGCCUGUGCCUGGAAGCAUACAUUUGUAAGGAAGCCAACAGCAUCAGUGGGUAAGAUUUGCUUGCUUGGAGGCAAAACGCAAAGUGGUUAAUUUUUUGGAUUCUGGAGUCAAUUUAUUUGGAUUAAACUACUGCUUCUGGGGUGUGUAUUUGGCAAAGUGGGUAAGUUGCUGCUUGAGAUACUCCCAUCAUUUUUUGGAGUGCCUGGGUUCGAGUCUGUACUCUUCCUCUGAUCCAUUUUCCUACAAAUGUGCAUCAUGGGAGGCAGCAAGUGAUGGAUGAAGUACUUGGGUCCUUGCCAUAUCAGCAGGAGACCCUAAAUGAGUUCUGAGCUCCUGGUUUCAGGCUGGUCCAGCAUGAACAGUUGUGGGUGUUUGGGGAGUAAACCAGUGGAUGGAAGACCUCUCUGUGUGUCUGUCUCUCUGUCUGUUUUUUAAACAAAAUGAAAAUAAGUAAAUAAAAAUUUUAAAAUUCCAUUUCUGCCA
rnacentral:lncRNA from 1 species